CCUACGGGAGGCAGCAGUGAGGAAUAUUGGUCAAUGGACGAGAGUCUGAACCAGCAAAGUAGCGUGAAGGAUGACUGCCCUAUGGGUUGUAAACUUCUUUUAUAUGGGAAUAAAAUGUUCCACGUGUGGGAUUUUGUAUGUACCAUAUGAAUAAGGAUCGGCUAACUCCGUGCCAGCAGCCGCGGUAAUACGGAGGAUCCGAGCGUUAUCCGGAUUUAGUGGGUUUAAAGGGAGCGUAGGUGGAUGGUUAAGUCAGUUGUGAAAGUUUGCGACUCAACCGUAAAAUUGCAUUUGAAACUGGCAGUCUUGAGGACAGUAGAGGCGGGCGGAAUUCGGGGUGUAGCGGUGAAAUGCUUAGAUAUCACGAAGAACUCCGAUUGCGAAGGCAGUGCACUGGACUGCAACUGACACUGAGGCUCGAAAGUGUGGGUAUCAAACAGGAUUAGAUACCCCUGUAGUC
rnacentral:rRNA from 1 species